GGAUUGCCCUAGUAACGGCGAGUGAAGCGGCAACAGCUCAAAUUUGAAAUCUGGUCCCUCUGGGGCCCGAGUUGUAAUUUGCAGAGGAUGUUUCGGCGUUGGGGCCUGUGCUAGGUUCCUUGGAACAGGGCGUCACAGAGGGUGAGAACCCCGUCUUUGCUCGGGAUACCUUCGCCAUGUGAAACUCCUUCGACGAGUCGAGUUGUUUGGGAAUGCAGCUCUAAGUGGGAGGUAUAUUUCUUCUAAAGCUAAAUAACGGCCAGAGACCGAUAGCGCACAAGUAGAGUGAUCGAAAGAUGAAAAGCACUUUGGAAAGAGAGUUAAAAAGUACGUGAAAUUGUUGAAAGGGAAGCUCUUGUUGCCAGACUUGACCCGGUUGCUCAGCCGUCCUUUUGGGCGGUGUAUUCUUCCGUGGACAGGCCAGCAUCAGUUUGGGUGGCCAGAUAAAGGCCUUGGGAAUGUAGCCUUUCGGGGUGUUAUAGCCCAAAGCGUCAUGUGGUCUACCCGGACUGAGGACAGCGUUUUCGAGGAUGCUGGCGUAAUGGUAGCAAGCGACCCGUCUUGAAACACGGACCAAGGAGUCUAACAUCUGUGCGAGUGUUUGGGUGCAAAACCCAUGCGCGUAAUGAAAGUGAACGGAGGUGGGACCCGCAAGGUGCACCAUCGACCGAUCCUGAUGUCUUCGGAUGGAUUUGAGUAUGAGCAUAGCUGUUGGGACCCGAAAGAUGGUGAACUAUGCCUGAAUAGGGUGAAGCCAGAGGAAACUCUGGUGGAGGCUCGCAGCGGUUCUGACGUGCAAAUCGAUCGUCAAAUUUGGGUAUAGGGGCGAAAGUAAGCAACCAAAGAUCUUGAUGAUAGUAGGGAUUGAUGCUAAUUAAUUUUUCCGUAGGACUAAUCGAACCAUUGCCUGGUAGAAACCAGUAUUACUAGGUGGUUAAGAGACCUGGGGUCUAGUUGGGAUUGAAUCUACAGCAAUGCUGUCAAAUUGCGGGAACUUGCAGUUAAGUUGGGGCUACCGCCCCCCUUUUAUAAGGGGUAGGCACCGCGGGUAACGCCGCUGGGUAUGGUAACAACGCCCCGAUUAUGCACAACCUGCAGCCAAGCCCAUAAUGUGUGGGUCAGUUCACAGGCCAAAUGUCAGCAGGUCUAGGCGCCCAAGGGCUUAGGCUCAAGAUAUGGUCGACUCCCGCCCGAGAUGGCGGGGCUCACCGACGGUGAGGCCAGUGCUAGUAGCUGGUUCCUGCCGAAGUUUCCCUCAGGAUAGCAGUAACGUCUUCAGUUUUAUGAGGUAAAGCGAAUGAUUAGAGGCCUUGGGGUUGAAACAACCUUAACCUAUUCUCAAACUUUAAAUAU
rnacentral:rRNA from 1 species